rnacentral:lncRNA from 1 species
GGCACUAAUGAGCAGUAGUAGCAAUGUAAUUCAACCAGGAUAUCGUCCCCCUGAAGAUAAUGCCAUGGGACAACCCCAAUACCCCCCAGCUGUGAGGGGCAGGGAACAAACAAACAUUCCCAUGAUUCAACAAAGAGUCAAAAGUUUCCAGCCAAAACAGUUCACAACAACUGAAAACAACUGGACCCUACCCUCUGCGCAGACAAACACAGGAGCAAUGCUUACGCUCCCUGAAGACAUCAGUCUGUACGAAACAGUACUGACAAGGUGGGAAUCGGUCAACACAAAUUUGAUGAAUUAGAUGAUCUGGGCUGAUAACACAGCUAAGGUUAUCUAUGUGGAAAAUCUGUUAGGAGAAACAGAGAAGAGAACUUUCCAACAAUGGCGGAUGGCCUUCCCAGCGGAGUACGAAC